rnacentral:rRNA from 1 species
UACGUAGGGUGCGAGCGUUUGUCCGGAAUUACUGGGCGUAAAGAGCUUGUAGGUGGUUUGUCGCGUUGUUCGUGAAAUCUCACGGGCUUAACCUGUGAGCGUGCGGGCGAUACGGGCAGACUAGAGUACUGCAGGGGAGACUGGAAUUCCUGGUGUAGCGGUGGAAUGCGCAGAUAUCAGGAGGAACACCGGUGGCGAAGGCGGGUCUCUGGGCAGUGAACUGACGCUGGAGAAAGCGAAAGCGUGGGGAGCGAACAG